UUUAUCCUACUCCAUUAUAUAGAAAUGAUGAUUUAUUUUUAAAAACUAUUAAGUAUAAAUUUGAAAACCAUAGGUUUUUCUGGCUAAGAGUAUACCACCAUAUGAAGUAGAGAUGUCAUUCAGCCUAAUUUAAAUUGAACUUCUAUAGUCCAACCAUUGACUCCUUUCUCAUUUGUUACAGAUUUGUUGCUAGGAAGCACUAUGGGUAUUUUAAGUAUAUAUUUAUUUCCACUAAGAAUUAUGUAAUCAGUUUUAAUAUCUUUUAGUAUCCUUUAUAACGAUGUAGAUUAAUAAUGGAAAU
rnacentral:lncRNA from 1 species